GAUGAACGCUGGCGGCGUGCCUAAUACAUGCAAGUCGAGCGAACGGACGAGAAGCUUGCUUCUCUGAUGUUAGCGGCGGACGGGUGAGUAACACGUGGAUAACCUACCUAUAAGACUGGGAUAACUUCGGGAAACCGGAGCUAAUACCGGAUAAUAUUUUGAACCGCAUGGUUCAAAAGUGAAAGACGGUCUUGCUGUCACUUAUAGAUGGAUCCGCGCUGCAUUAGCUAGUUGGUAAGGUAACGGCUUACCAAGGCAACGAUGCAUAGCCGACCGGAGAGGGUGAUAGGCCACACUGGAACGGAGCCACGGUCCAGACGCCUACGGGAGGCAGCAGUAGGGAAUCUGACGCAAUGGGCGAAAGCCUGACGGAGCAACGGCGCGUGAGAGAUGAAGGUCUUCGGAUCGUAAAAAUCUGUUAUGAGUGAAGAACAUAUGUGUAAGUAACUGUGCACAUCGUGACGGUACCUAAUCAGAAAGCCACGGCUAACUACGUG
rnacentral:rRNA from 1 species